rfam:Xenopus laevis strain J chromosome 3L, whole genome shotgun sequence.
ACAGGUAUGGUGAUAUGGUUCCAAAGACUAUAGCAGGGAAGAUAUUUGGCUCCAUUUGUUCCCUGAGUGGUGUGUUGGUCAUUGCCUUGCCAGUCCCAGUGAUUGUCUCCAAC